rnacentral:misc_RNA from 1 species
UGCAAUCGAAGAUCUGAAGCUGGAUUCUCUAGUAAUGGGAAGCAGAGGACUGAGUACCAUUCGAAGGAUUCUGCUUGGGAGUGUUAGCAACUACGUGAUUACUCAUUCUCCUUGCCCUGUUACAGUCGUCAAGGAUUCAAACUUUCAGCAUCAUUAAGGCGUGAAAUCGGCGAUUACGGGGUUUGGUUCUUUAAUCGAGUGAUCUUUAUUAAGUAUAUGCCUAAACUAAACUCCUGAAAUUCUAGAAAAUCACGUUUGUGUCCUUGAAAACCUUGAUUUCCCUGUUUGGA